GCAGAACCCAGUAAGUGGAUGCACAGUUGGAAAGUUGGAUCUUCGCUUGGAUCUCUGCCAUUAUCUGGAAACAAGGUAACCUCAACUGAGAAGUUUGCAGGUGUAAGUUUCGAAAACUUAAGCAGUUUAAAGUUAACAGACUUUAAGAGUUUGAUAUUAACUCACAAUGUCAUGUAAUAAUGAAUCACCUGUAUGGUUAAACCUUCGUUGGAGCGUGCGCAGUGCAAAGUUAACCUCUGCCUGAGUCUCAGUUGGUAUUUUAAAGUUUCUUCAGUAACUCUCUGAAAGUUCUUUGACUCUAAAUGAUGUAAAAUACAGACGAGGUCCAAUUUCCUGAUCCAUUCUGUCCACGAUAUUCAAAUUAUUAAAAUUAAUUUAUAAUUUAGGGUCCCACCAACCAAACGAUUAAAGGUGAUUUGUUAUUAUUAGCUCACAAUGCUUGAAAAAAAAAAUAUACUGUAUAUAUAUACCAGAGAUAAUAUAUUUAAUGUUUUUUGCGUGUCUGGUCGCCGUAAAGAUAGUGAUGUAACAGCUGUUUCAGGUUUGAAAAACAGUAUUUUUUGCUUUGAAAGGUCUUACUUUGUCAGGAUCCUCUGUGUGAUUUUCAAAGUCUCUAAAAAUGACAGUCUUAUCCUGUAGAUGGCAAAAUUUAGGACUUUAAGUGGACUUAAUUGGAUCGCCUGUGAAUGCCCCAAAAGAUUAUUUUCAGCUCUUAUUGUUUAUUCCAGUUCUCCUCUGAGAUAAUCUGCUGAACCAACUCUGAAGUGGUUUAUAGUUAUGAGGUAUUCAUACACCGGUUUAUAUUAAAACAAAACAAGGAAUCAUCCAGUCUGACUCUGCUGUAUUUUAGACAGUGAUUAAAAACUGAGCAACAACACAGUUUGGCUCUUAAACCAACCUGACUGUGGUGCAGUAGUUAAAGGUCAAGCACAAACUUUGAAACACCUCGACUCCUACACAAAUCCAAUCAGCGCUGACCUUUCUACUCACAACCAGAGAGCCUCAUUAAUCACUCUGAUCAGCCGGAAACUGAUGAUCCCAGGAUGAAACUCUGUCAUGAUCUCAGACGCAAAAAGUCUGAGUUUUAAUUAAAAGAAAUCAUUUACUCAUCCCUUAGCGAACUAGCCACGUGUCUGCUUUUAACCUAAACAUUUUACAACGUAUCACACCUGACUGUGUUCGAUCUGAUCGGUCCAAACUUUGAAACUGUUUUUUUGUUUCUCAGGAAGGACAUCCUAAUCCCACAUGCAAAUGAAAAUGGAGUCUUUCACAUUUCACCUUUUCCACCUGUUGACAAUGUGGCAAAAAUGUUGGUUUCUGUGACCAUUCUGAGGCAUGAGCAGAGCAGGAAAUUUAAUGAUCAUAAAUCAUCAGACCCAUCUUUGACAAUAUUAAAGGGAUAUUCCGGCAUAAAAUAAGUUAGGGUCAAACACAUCGUAACACGUGUUAGACACCCUAACUUUAGGAACGACCGCACGAUAGCAAUACACAGCGGUCUGAGGAGCCAUAAACAAACCUCAACCAAAACACCACUCUAUAGCCACAAAUAAUGCUCAGAACAGCACCUAACUUCAUCAACAGGACAUAUAGGGUUCCAGCCAUAGUACUAGCCACUAAACAUUUUUUUAACUUUGCCUGAUUUCUUUAGCAAAGAGAUGAAUUACAACUCACUUACCCUCUUCCUGCAGCCACUUGUUUGUAGCGAGACCUCAGGCCAGAUCAUUACAAACUGCUGCGGGGUGACGCAGCUCAAGGAAGAACAUUUAUGAUCAUUUCUUCAUGGAAAUGCAAUCAGACCGAGACGCUAAGGCAGAAGAACUACCGCGUCUGCAGAGCAAAAUGAUUGAUAUGGUGAUUAUUACUUCAAGGAAAUGAUAAAGAAAUUAUCAUAAAUGUUCUUCCUUGAGCUGCGUCACCCCCGGUUUGGACUCACCCAAGGUCUCUGUACAAACAAGUGGCUGCUAGAAGAGAGUAGGUGAGUUGUGUUUAGUCUCUUAGUCAAAGUUAAAAAGAUGUUUGGUGUCUAGUACUAUGUCUGGGACCCUAUAUGUCCUGUUGAUGAAGUUAGGUGCUAUUCUGAGCAUCAUUUGUGGUUAUAGAGUGGCGUUUUGGUUGAGUGCAUGGCUCCCGGUAUUGCUAUCUGCGGUCGUUACUAAAGUUGGUAUAACUAGAGAAGCAAGCAGUCGGCAUUCAUCUUUCGACGGGGUGUCUAACUCGGUGUUGCUGUGUGUUUGACCCGAAAUUAAUUUUACACUGGAAUAUCCCUUUAAUAGCCAAUCAGAGUUUAGGAUUUCAGGGUGGCUAUUUAGAUUUUAUUGGGGGCAGUGCCACCCCUGAACACCCCUCUGGACAUGCCCCUGGUCACAACAGCAGAACACAGUGAGAGGGAUAUUAAACGAUAUGAGGCGCUGAAAGAAAAAGCCGUCUACCAAACUGAAGAAAACAGACAUAAAGCAAUCAUAAAAUAGGACAUAGUUUGGGCAUCAGUGGUGAUUCCUUUUGCUGCUCAUCUUUACUUCCCACCUUCCCUGUUUCUCUUCAGCUGUACAGUCCUGUGUGUUUUGUUUUAAACUUGCUUAUUUCCUAAGUUGGUGAGGAGGUGGUUGGAUAAGCAGGUCCGGAUGUAAAGCUGUACAUCCCCCCUCACAUGCUUGAGAAAAAGCACAGCGGCUAAAAUCAAGUAUCAGACUGUAAAAAUGUUCAGCAAAUCCACUGUGACUGAAAUGAAUAAAUUAGCAUGAUAACAGCGAGGGGGUUUUUGGCGCCGUGGUGAUUUUUCUCUUGAGGAAGUUGACGUCCACAUAGAAGCAGCAUUUCAGGAUGCAAAUGUAUUCAGAAUAAGAUCCAAGUUGCAUUCUUCCUCUAUUUGAUGAUGGAUUAUUCAAGUCAUGGUCUACAAAUCCUUUACUGAUCAGUGAAAAUUGUUGGGAGAUUAUUCCUCCUCAGAGUUAAUUCUGCUAAAGCCUCUUCUUUCACAGAGUUUACAGAUCCAGAGAUGCUCAUCAGAUGAGGCUGCAAACAGAGCGGCGUGUCUGCGAACUGUUCUGGUUCAAGUCCAGGCUUUGGCAGGAGGAAGAAGACUGACUUCAAACACCUGUCCUCCGAAUUUGGUGCAUCAGACUUCCUUAAACUCGUC
rnacentral:lncRNA from 1 species